rnacentral:rRNA from 1 species
UACGUAGGUGGCAAGCGUUGUCCGGAUUUACUGGGCGUAAAGAGCGCGCAGGCGGUCGUUCAAGUCGCGUGUGAAAGCCCCCGGCUCAACUGGGGAGGGUCACGCGAUACUGAUCGACUGGAAGGCAGGAGAGGGUAGUGGAAUUCCCGGUGUAGUGGUGAAAUGCGUAGAUAUCUGGAGGAACACCGGUGGCGAAGGCGGCAUCCUGGACCGGUAUUGACGCUGAGGCGCGAAAGCCAGGGGAGCAAACGGG